UGAACAAAAUUCAUGAAUUUUUCAUGAAUAAUUCAUCAAAUUUUCGCCGGGGAAGAAUUUAUCACAUCAUGUCUAAUAAUAUUAUAUAUCUGAGGGGGAGGGGCAUAUACUUUUAAAUAUUUGAGUGCGGGGGAAGUUCAUUAUUAUGAGCAUCAUAAAGGGGGGACCCAUGAUAUCCAUAUGAUAAAAGGAUCUCCCACCCUAAGGUAUAAAGAAUGAAUGGUCCCUAACCUAUAUAUAGCAUGAAAUUUAAGAUUAACUAAGAUUACUAGCAACAAAAGGUGGUAAUAUGCAGGGGCGUCGUUAGCCCUGUUUUAAUGAAGGGGUGUAAGUGCAAUUUUGCCGACUCAUCUCAAACACUAAUUAAUAUUUCUUUUCGCAAAUAUGUUGGCGAGCCGGGGUAGGAGGGGUUUACAAAAAAAAACAUUUUACAGCCAUUAUUUUUUUCUUUUCCUUUCUCAUUAACCAACCGUCAUUCGGUAAUCUUUCCUUUAUUUUUUCGUAAAUUUUCCAAUUUUUUUGCUAUAAAUAUUAGCUUUUAAUUAAUCAGUGUAACUCAUAUAAUUUAAUUUUUUCCUUCCUAUCCAGUUCCAUUUUUGCCAACUACAAAAACAAUUUCCUGACUGCGACUCAAUAAUUUGCAGAAUGUAUGGCGAUUGGGGGUGUU